AGGCGCGUAGCUCAGCUGGUUAGAGCACCACCUUGACAUGGUGGGGGUCGGUGGUUCGAGUCCACUCGUGCCUACCA
rnacentral:tRNA from 4 species